rnacentral:rRNA from 1 species
GACGAACGCUGGCGGCGUGCUUAACACAUGCAAGUCGAACGGAAAGGCCCUGCUUUUGUGGGGUGCUCGAGUGGCGAACGGGUGAGUAACACGUGAGUAAUCUGCCCUUGACUUUGUGAUAACUUCAGGAAACUGGGGCUAAUACCGGAUAUGAGCUCCUGCUGCAUGGUGGGGGUUGGAAAGUUUCGGCGGUUGGGGAUGGUCUCGAGGCUUAUCAGCUUGUUGGUGGGGUAGUGGCUUACCAAGGGUUUGACGGGUAGCCGGCCUGAGAGGGUGACCGGCCACAUUGGGACUGAGAUACGGCGCAGACUCCUACGGGCGGCAGCAGUGGGGAAUAUUGCACAAUGGGCGGAAGCCUGAUGCAGCAACGCCGCGUGCGGGAUGACGGCCUUCGGGUUGUAAACCGCUUUCGCCUGUGACGAAGCGUGAGUGACGGUAAUGGGUAAAGAAGCACCGGCUAACUACGUG